ACACUCUCACCUAUCUUGGUAUUAUAUAUUCAUGUGAAGCUUUAUCAACCUCACACUCCUACAACACUCUCACAUCUCCUACAACACAUCUUCAGAACGUCAAUUUCAAACUAUGAAGAACGAAGCCAAAAGAUCAAUUAAACCUUCAAAUUGAACAUUAGAAUACUCAUUACAAUUAUUACAAUUGGGUUUUGCAUUGUUCUUUGGCUAUAAACUUGGCAAGGAAUCUGAAACGUCAAGUGGACACGCCGGAGGGGAUACACGUGGAAAAGGAGUGUUUUAGAGGUGAUGUUGGAACGAACCGGAAGAUGAUCGAGCUAGCUCUUGAAAAACCGAACACUAUUUACAAGCUUCCGUAAUGUUUUAAACUUUAAUAGAUUAUGUUUAUGGGUUGUAAACAAAUUGUUAAACAACUUUUGGAUGUUUUAACUUAGUCGUUAGUCGACUAAGGUCUUUGCUACUA